rnacentral:tRNA from 1 species
GCUUCUGUGGCGCAAUUGGCUAGCGCGUUCGGCUGUUAACCGAAAGUAUGGUGGUUCGAGCCCACCCAGGAGCG